rnacentral:rRNA from 1 species
AGCAGCCGCGGUAAUUCCAGCUCCAAUAGCGUAUAUUAAAGUUGUUGCAGUUAAAAAGCUCGUAGUUGAAUUUCGGGAUCAAUACGUCUGUCGUGCCUUUGGUACGUACGGGUGUAAUUGGUUUCUACCUUCUGAGGAUCCUUGAUGUCAUUAAUUUGGUGUCUUGGGGAAUCAGGACUGUUACCUUGAAAAAAUUGAGUGUUUAAAGCAGGCAUACGCUUGAAUACAUUAGCAUGGAAUAAUGAAAUAGGACGUUCGAUUCUAUUUUGUUGGUUUCUAGGAUCGACGUAAUGAUUAAUAGGGAUAGUUGGGGGCAUUAGUAUUCAAUUGUCAGAGGUGAAAUUCUUGGAUUUAUUGAAGACUAACUACUGCGAAAGCAUUUGCCAAGGAUGUUUUCAUUAUCAAGAACGAAAGUUAGGGAUCGAAGACGAUCAGAUACCGUCGUAGUCUUAACCAUAAACUAUGACCGACUAGGGAUCGGAUGGAUGUUUAAUUUUUAUGUACUUCAUUCGGCNCCUUA